UACCUAGUCUUUCAUAGGCCCUUUAACUA
rnacentral:piRNA from 1 species